rnacentral:rRNA from 1 species
GAUUAUCGGCACGUGAUGGGGGAUCCAAGUGCCAGCGCAUUCUGGGUGUCGUUAUUUGUAAAUAACUGGUGAAGAAAGGGCCGGGCAAGACCGGCGCCAGCAGCCGCCGUAAUAAUAA